GAAGUGUAAACAAAGACCUGCAGGAAGUAAAGGGGCUACAAGGGAUCCAUGGAAAGAGCAUUCCCAGAAGCGGGGCCAGGGCAGUGCGCACAGUGAGGAGAGCAGGUGUGUGUGAGGUUGAAACAAAACGUUCAAAGCCCCCUCGGAAGCCCAUCCACAGGUGUGUGACUGUGAACCGCAUCGUAAUCUCCUAGAAAGCAAGAACAUCAGGCUUACAUUUUCCACUUGCCUCUCACGGCUCAGAGCUCUGCAGUAUAUACAUUGAGGAAACUGGGCCCUGAGACAUUAACUUGCCCAAAAGAUCACAGUGGGCAACAUUCUAGAGCACAGUGGAAGCCGACAGCAAUGUCAGUGAAGAUGGAAAACAGAACGUGGAGAGAGAUGUAGCUUACUAGAGCCCUGUGGCUUCAAUCCCCACCAGGAAUGUCGUUUAAGAGGAAGGUGAUCUAGCACAAAUUCACAUUUGCUUGAGGAAGAAUACAAAUAGAAGCAGCCUCGGGGAGCGGGCGGGGCUGGGGAAUCCCUGGCCUCCCUCCUUUCCUUCUGGCUGAUCUUCUGCAGAAGACCUCACAAAAGGGAGCUGAGGGGCCAGGAAGCCUGUGGAUGCCCUGAAGAAGAAUGAGUAGAUCUGAAAGGGCAGUAGAACAGAACCAGAAUCCAGUGCAAAGGCCCUGGGGCAGGAGUUCGCAGGAGAAGCGGGGAGAAGGAACCAGCCUAUGAUCCAGGAAUGCAGUGAACAAGAUUUGGGAAGUUGACAGAGAAUAUGAGGCCUCCUCUCCAAACAGAAACUCCAGGACGCUUGGUUGAGUCACUGACACAUGCACAGUGCUGAGCAUAGUACCAGACACCAGAGUCUGUGUUCCAGAAAUGGAAGAAUAGGUGAGUAAUGAAAGUCUAAGUAAGCAAAUUCUUCGCAAAUGGGGAAAAGAUUGAAUGUAUAGGGCUGCAUAUAUUAGAAGCCCCCUGGAAUCUCUGCAUCCAGAAGAUUGCAGUCACCUUUGAAGCACUCACCACCAGAGUCUACUCGCACACUCUCCUGUGGCAGCCGUUCACCUCGGCCCUUUUCCUAGGGAUUUGCCUUCAAGUCCCAGAAUGGGCCUCAGGGUCUUUGCAUUCGCCUUUCUAUGAGUCUGAAACACCACCCACCCCCUCACCUGUGGGCAGGCAAAGCACCUCCUGUGUUCAUGUCAUCUCCUGUAUCAAGCCCUUCCUGAUGACCAACUUGCAGCCGGGUGCCCUCUAUCCAUGCCUCCAUGGCCGCCUAUGAUAAUGUCCCCCAUAUCAUUUACCAUUCUGCUCAUGAAUUUGGCUUCAUUCAUCUCGCAACAACCCCAGAGUAUUAAGCCACUCGAGGGUGGAAGCUGGUGCUUUUACCUCCGCACCUCUCAUGCCCGACAGAGUCCAUGGCAGAAGGCCGGCUCUCAGAUUUUAGCUGCAUUCCUGAAUGAAGGAAUCAAUAAAAGCCACACAGCAUUAAGUGGCAGACUCUAGUAAUUUAAUUCCUGGUCCUGGGCUCUUUGAUAUAAAAUAACUCUUCUAUUUUUAAUACACCCCACAUUCCUGAAGAUGACACUACUGCAAAAUUAAAGAAAUGUGAUGAACAGCUUACAACCUGCAACACACUCGGCAGCUCAAAAUGACAACAUUAAUUUAAUGAACUUAAACACUGGUGAACUUUUUAACACAUCCAGAGUUAUUUACACUGGGAAAUGCAUACUUAAGACUGCCUGCCAAAGAGACUCAAAUAGAGAUGACACAUAUAUCUUUCACAUGUUAAUUUGCAUUUGAAACUUUGAGCUUUGAUACAGGUUGGCUUUUCUCUUUUGGAAUGAAGAAAUCAAGAGACUAAUUUUUUACCCAUCCAUCCAUCUAUCCAUCUAUCCAUCCAUCCAGCCACAUCUUUCCUAAGUGACAGGACAUAUCACACACCAACCGUGUGCAAAGCACUCUACCUAAAGAUCAGCGCUAACAGAGGAAUAAGCAGAGGCCUCCAGGAGCAAAGAGUGAAAAGUCUCCCAAGGAUUCAAGUACGGGGGAAGUGGGUGGAGCUUUCACCGUAGAAUCUUUCCUGGAGAAAAAGCAAAGAGUGGGACAACAAUGAAGGCAUUAAAAAUAACUGUCAAGUUGAAGAAAAAAUCUGAAGUUUAUCAAUACAUGAUCUCCUCAAAAACGAAAGGAAUAAAACAAGUAUCUGCAAUUUGCUGAGAACUUAAUAUGUGUCAGUUGCCUGCAAAACUCAUCAUUCUUUAGACUUUCAAAUACAUCUGUGAGGACGGUAUUGUUGUUUCCACUUACACAUGAGAAGGCAAGAGACAAGCCCACGGUCACCCAGCUGGUAUUUUGCCAAAGACUAAGGAUUCGGAGAUGACUACGGAAAGGAAAACUAAGCUCCAUGAGAAGAGGGGACUUGCCCAUGUGGCUCAGGGCUCUAUGCCCAGUGCCCUAGACAGUGCCUGACUGUGUGUGCGGAAUGAAUGAAUAACCUUGGUGAUCCACCCAAUGGCACUGGCGCUCAGUGACCUCAUCUGAAAUGGAAUAAGGAUUUUAUGAAAAUGCAUGUUUGUUGAAUAACACAAAGGAGAAUAUUAUCUAAUGUGGCUUGGGGUCAAUAUCAAGCAGUAAUAUUGUUUUAGUAUUAAUUAGAGCCGUGUCAUUGCAAGAGCUGGUAAGAAUACUGGUCUUGUUUCCAACUGAUGAAAACACUCAUACAGAUUAGGGUUUUUAUGAGUAAAUUUCAGAUCUUGAAAAAAAAAAAAAAAAAAAAAAAAAAAAAAA
rnacentral:lncRNA from 1 species